rnacentral:lncRNA from 10 species
CUAGAACAUGAGUCACGUUUCACCCAUUUCACUAGACCAGUGGUUCUCACACUUUAGAGUGCCUCAGAGUCACCUACAGGGCUUGUUAAACCACAGAUUGCAGGGGUACCUAAGCCCAGAAUUUCUGAUUUGGUAGGUCUGGAGUAGGUCCUGAUAAUCUGCUUUUCUAACAGGUUGUCGGGUGAUGCUGAUUGUGCUAGUCCUAGGAACAUCUUAAUAACUACGUCGCCUUAUUAAGCCUUGGAUAAAGAAGACCACUUCAUGGUACCAUCAGAUGGAGGCCCCUGACCUGAGGAAACCCUACUUCACCAUCGGCAGAACCAGCCCCCAAUAUUUCAAUUUUAUUUUUGACCAGAUAAUGAAUGAAUAU